UACGUAGGGACCAAGCGUUGUUCGGAUUUACUGGGCGUAAAGGGCGCGUAGGCGGCAAUUCAAGUCAUCUGUGAAAUCUCCGGGCUUAACUCGGAAUGGUCAGGUGAUACUGCUUUGCUAGAGUGCAGAAGGGGCAAUCGGAAUUCUUGGUGUAGCGGUGAAAUGCGUAGAUAUCAAGAGGAACACCUGAGGUGAAGACGGGGUUGCUGGGCUGACACUGACGUGGAGGCGCGAAAGCGUGGGGAGCGAACAGGA
rnacentral:rRNA from 1 species